rnacentral:lncRNA from 1 species
AUGGGAAGCCAGGACUACGCUGUGUGGCUUCCUCUCUGGGUAGGAAGGCAAGGUGUCUUCUACAUUUUUGCGUUCUUCCAGGCUGCCACCCAUACCCCAGGCCACACAGAGUAAGGGAAGACAAGGUCUGAGAAGGAUUACCAGGAGAGAGGUGAGUUAAUAUCUCAAAAAUGUUACUCUUCCGCAUUGAUGAGCUUCCCAGGUGGCGCUGGUGGAAAAGAACCCACCUGCCAAUGAAGGAGACGUAAGAGACGCAGGUUUGAUCCCUGGGUCAGGAAGAUGCCCUGGGGAAGGGCAUUGCAACCCACUCCAGUAUUCUUGCCUGGAGAAUUCCCUGGACAGAGGAGCCUGGCAGGCUGUAGUGCAUAAGGUUGCACAGAGUCGGACAUGACUGAAGCGACUUAGCAUGCAUGCACGACAUUGAGGUGUUCUUAGUUUUUAUCCCUAAACAAAGUUCCAAGUUCACUUUAAGAACCGUCUUUUAUCUUCUGGUUUCAUUUGCUGCCCCUGUGUGGCUCCACUGCCCACUCUGCCAAAGGUCUGCUCCCAGCUUUACCGCUGCUCCUCUGACCCCAUCCCUCAGUCCCUAACGGAAAAUCUCAGCCCUUCUCUGAGGCAGUGACGAGGUGGAUAUGAUGUAGCUUGUUGGGAAAACCACAGAAUCUGUGCUCAGCUGAUCCUUUACCAGCCCCAACGCCGCCACGCAUCUCUGCAUCAAUCAACCACCCCAUACCUCCCAGGUUGCUGCCCCUGGGGAACAUCACUGGGUAACUCGCUCAUACCUCCCGCGAAGGGAUUUGUUAGACUCUGGAACACCAAAGAUGAAAGGCACAGGCAGGCCUGCCCUCAAGGAGCUUCAGCCACAGGAGGAAAGGGAACAAAACGUGAGAUUCAAGGAACCCUAGCCCGCCUUCAUCCUCCGCAUCUCCCCUGGGGCUUCAGGAGACUUGUCACCACAGUUCACACCAGCUUCCUCCUGCCCCAGCUCUCCCACCGCAUCUCCAGUCU